GUGGGGAAUAUUGCGCAAUGGGCGAAAGCCUGACGCAGCGACGCCGCGUGAGGGAUGAAGGUUUUCGGAUCGUAAACCUCUGUCAGAAGGGAAGAAACUACGUUGUGCUAAUCAGCAGCGUACUGACGGUACCUUCAAAGGAAGCACCGGCUAACUCCGUGCCAGCAGUCGCGGUAAUACGGAGGGUGCAAGCGUUAAUCGGAAUUACUGGGCGUAAAGCGCACGUAGGCUGUAGUGUAAGUCAGGGGUGAAAUCCCACGGCUCAACCGUGGAACUGCCUUUGAUACUGCACAACUUGAAUCCGGGAGAGGGUGGCGGAAUUCCAGGUGUAGGAGUGAAAUCCGUAGAUAUCUGGAGGAACAUCAGUGGCGAAGGCGGCCACCUGGACCGGUAUUGACGCUGAGGUGCGAAAGCGUGGGGAGCAAACAGGAUUAGAAACCCUGGUAGUCC
rnacentral:rRNA from 1 species